rnacentral:rRNA from 1 species
ACGAACGCUGGCGGCGUGCUUAACACAUGCAAGUCGAACGGAAAGGCCCUGCUUUUGUGGGGUGCUCGAGUGGCGAACGGGUGAGUAACACGUGAGUAACCUGCCCUUGACUUUGGGAUAACUUCAGGAAACUGGGGCUAAUACCGGAUAGGAGCUCCUGCUGCAUGGUGGGGGUUGGAAAGUUUCGGCGGUUGGGGAUGGACUCGCGGCUUAUCAGCUUGUUGGUGGGGUAGUGGCUUACCAAGGCUUUGACGGGUAGCCGGCCUGAGAGGGUGACCGGCAACAUGGGAACUGGGAUACGGCCCAGACUCCUACGGGAGGCAGCGGGGGGGAUUAUUGCACAAGGGGCGGAAGCCUGAUGCAGCAACGCCGCGUGCGGGAUGACGGCCUUCGGGUUGUAACCCGCUUUCGCCUGUGACGAAGCGUGAGUGACGGUAAUGGGUAAAAAGCACCGGCUAACUACGUG